rnacentral:tRNA from 1 species
GUUCCUGUAGGGCAGUGGGUAGCGCGUUGGACUUCUAAUUCAAAGGUCGUGGGUUCAAAUCCCACCUGGGAUG